AGGGGCUUAGCUCAGCUGGUAGAGCGUCGGUCUCCAAAACCGAAGGUCGUAGGUUCAAGCCCUGCAGCCCCUGCCA
rnacentral:tRNA from 1 species